rnacentral:rRNA from 1 species
UACGUAGGGUGCGAGCGUUGUCCGGAAUUACUGGGCGUGAAGAGCUCGUAGGUGGUUUGUCGCGUUGUUCGUGAAAACUCACAGCUUAACUGUGGGCGUGCGGGAGAUACGGGCAGACUGGAGUACUGCAGGGGAGACUGGAAUUCCUGGUGUAGCGGUGGAAUGCGCAGAUAUCAGGAGGAACACUGGUGGCGAAGGCGGGUCUCUGGGCAGUAACUGACGCUGAGGAGCGAAAGCGUGGGGAGCGAACAGG